rnacentral:rRNA from 1 species
GACAGAGGUGCCGAGCGUUAGGCGGAAUCACUGGGCUUAAAGCGUGUGUAGGCGGGUCGUUAAGUGCCUUGUGAAAUCCCACGGCUCACCCGUGGAACCGCUGGGCAUACUGGGGGUCUUGGGCCAUUCAGGGGCGACUGGAACAAGCGGUGGAGCGGUGAAAUGCGUAGAUAUCGCUUGGAACGCCGACGGUGAAAACAGGUCGCUGGGAAUGUGCCGACGCUGAGACACGAAAGCCAGGGGAGCAAACGGG